rnacentral:rRNA from 1 species
GGGGGCCCGCAAGCGGUGGAGCAUGUGGUUUAAUUCGAAGCAACGCGAAGAACCUUACCAGGUCUUGACAUCCCGCUGCCCGCCUAGGAGACUAGGCUUUCCCUUCGGGGACAGCGGUGACAGGUGGUGCAUGGUUGUCGUCAGCUCGUGUCGUGAGAUGUUGGGUUAAGUCCCGCAACGAGCGCAACCCUUGAUCUUAGUUGCCAGCAUUCAGUUGGGCACUCUAAGGUGACUGCCGGUGACAAACCGGAGGAAGGUGGGGAUGACGUCAAAUCAUCAUGCCCCUUAUGACCUGGGCUACACACGUGCUACAAUGGACGGUACAAAGGGCUGCAAACCCGCGAGGGGGAGCCAAUCCCAGAAAACCGUUCUCAGUUCGGAUUGCAGGCUGCAACUCGCCUGCAUGAAGCCGGAAUCGCUAGUAAUCGUGGAUCAGCAUGCCACGGUGAAUACGUUCCCGGGCCUUGUACACACC